GUUUCACUAUCAAUGAUGAAAUAUGUCAUGUUAUCAUUAUCAGAAGGAAAAGAAUUUUAUGAAAUCACCUGAUCACUUGAAUCGAACGAUUAGCCACUUGUGAUACUAUUUUUGAUUCAGGAUCCACAGGUGGUUGUGAUAUAUUAACAAUGGUAGUACGAUCUUCGCUCACUAUUCCAGGAGGUAUCACAAUAUUACUAAUUAUUCCUUCACCAAUUGGAUCAGCCUGAAUUAUAUCAGCAUUCAUCAUUUUAGCUAAUUCAGUAGUUUUUCUAGGUAGAGCUUUUGCAGGUAAUCUUGGUGUCUUUGGAGUUUUUAUGGGAGAAGGUAAACGACUGGCUACAGUUUCAAAUUCUCUUCUAGGUGGUGAGACUCCUCUUCGAGGAGUUGUAGCUGGUGUUAUACGCUGAGUCUUUCUACCUGGUGUUCUUUCCCUGCCCAUCCUAAUUUGAAGUCUAACCAUCCGCCUGCGUACUUUGAAUGCGUCUCUUUGGUGUCUGGAUGCUGCAUCUUCUCUUAGUUCGAUAUCUCUUACAAGUGAUGCAGUUCUGGCCUGACGAAGUUGUUCAGUUUUUGUUAACUGAGGCCGUCGACUCAUUUUCUCCUUUAUAAAUUAAAAGUAAAAAAUAUUAAAUAUUAAUAUUAAUAUCACAUUCGUUAUAC